CUAGAGACUGGAAGCACAGGGAGCAGAGCUCUUCCACUGGUGGACAGUUUGCUGAGUAUGCCUGGUACACUGAAGGCCUUCUCUUCGCCUCUGGUGGGGUAGGUGCAGCUCUACUGGCAGCCUCGGAUUUUGAUAGCAAGGAAUGACUUCUGAGGCAGAAGGAAAAUCUACUCAAGUGCAAUCCUGGAGAUGAAGGAAGGAUUGAAGAACAAUAGAAAAGGUGCAGCUGCUAGAAAAUUUUAAAUUAUAAACUGGAUAUGGUGGCUCACAUAAAAUCCCAAAAUUCUGGGAGGCUGAGUCAGGAGGAUCAAAAGUUUGAGCCCAGACUUGGCAACUUAAGCUGGGGAGACCCUUUCUCAAACAUAAAUAAAAGAACUGGG